rnacentral:rRNA from 1 species
GACGAACGCUGGCGGCGUGCUUAACACAUGCAAGUCGAGCGGUAAGGCCCUUUCGGGGGUACACGAGCGGCGAACGGGUGAGUAACACGUGGGUGACCUGCCCUCAGCUCUGGGAUAAGCCCGGGAAACUGGGUCUAAUACUGGAUAUUACUCUGCGGUGCAUGCCGUGGGGUGGAAAGCCUUGUGCGGCUGGGGAUGGGCCCGCGGCCUAUCAGCUUGUUGGUGGGGUGAUGGCCACCAAGGCGACGACGGGUAGCCGGCCUGAGAGGGCGACCGGCCACACUGGGACUGAGACACGGCCCAGACUCCUACGGGAGGCAGCAGUGGGGAAUCUUGCGCAAUGGGCGAAAGCCUGACGCAGCGACGCCGCGUGAGGGAUGACGGCCUGU